rnacentral:snoRNA from 1 species
AUCCCAUGAUGAGAACAAGCUAAGAUAUAGUCCUGAAGAAGUUCCCAGGCUUGUGCGACUGAUUCGUCAUGAUUCUGCUGGAAACUUGAGAUACGAUUCCGAAGGGC